rnacentral:rRNA from 1 species
AUUGAACGCUGGCGGCAGGCCUAACACAUGCAAGUCGAACGCGUGGCGGACGGGUGAGUAAUGUAUGGGAAACUCUGCGGUGGUGGGGGAUAAACACUGGAAGCGGUAGCAUAUAGCGAACACCAUCGGAUGUGCCGAGAUGGGAUUAGCGAGUGGGUGGGGUAACGGCUCACCUAGGCGACGAUCCCUAGCUGGUCUGAGAGUAUGACCAGCCACACUGGAACUGAGACACGGUCCAGACUCCUACGGGAGGCAGCAGUGGGGAAUAUUGCACAAUGGGCGCAAGCCUGAUGCAGCCAUGCCGCGUUUCUGAAGAAGGCCUUAGGGUUGUAAAGUACUUUCAGCGGGGAGGCGUUACCCGCAGAAGAAGCACCGGCUAACUCCGUGCCAGCCGCCGCGGUAAUAC